UUUAUCUUUGUGUGUUGGGUAUGUGCAUGAAAAUACACAAAACAAAGUUAAAGAUGAGUGUGUCGUAUUUAUUCUUCUCAGUAUAAAGCAAACACAGCUGGGUUCCCUCCAUCUCACGUUUGAAGCCAUUAUUAUUUUUUUUUUUUCUUUUUUGUUUUCUCAAUCUCUCUAGGUUCGAGAAAGUGCAAUAGAAUCCUAAAGAGAAAACCCAAUAACACCAAACCACCUUUGAAUAAAACCCUUUGUUCAACCAAAAUAUAUAACACAAAACAAACUUCACUUCGAACAAAUUACACCAAUUUCUUUUCUCUCUUUUCUUCUCUCAACAUAACCCAAAAUCAAAAUCCUGUCAUGUAGCGAGUUUAAAGAGAAAGAGAGGGCAGAGAAAAUGACUUGUUAUUGUUGGUGUUCUUCUUGUAAGUUUGGUUCACUUCUUGUUAUGGCUUUUAUUUGGCUUUUGUUGGCUAAUGGUUCGUGUCAAAGGAAAGAACCUGUCGUGGUGGGGAAGGUGACGACAGCGAUGGGAGAUGAAUUCAGUGGAGUUUUCAAAAAGACGACGGUGGUGGUGGGUGGCGGGAAGGUUGUUGAUCAUCCAGAGUGGCAUCUCAACUACAUGAGCAAAAGAAGAGUUCCUAAUGGUCCUGAUCCUAUCCAUAAUCGGAGAGCAGGAAACUCUGGAAGACCACCAGGCAAGGCUUAGCCCUUAAGAAAGAAACUAAAUUAAAAAGCUUUUGUAACAAAUUGGGCUUUCAAGAUCAUGACACCAAGAUGCAUCGUCUGUGCUAUCUUGUAUGUAUUAACUUUAGGUAUUAAAUGAUGAAAAAACUUAUCGGAUCCCGAUUUUUCCUUCAGAAAUUUUAAUUAGGAUCCUUUCGAUAA